GGCUGGUUGGUUCAGUUGGUGAGAGUGUGGUGCUGAUAACACCAAGAUCCAGGCUCGAUCCCUGGACUGGCCA